UACGAAGGGGGCUAGCGUUGCUCGGAAUCACUGGGCGUAAAGGGUGCGUAGGCGGGUUUUUAAGUCAGAGGUGAAAUCCUGGAGCUCAACUCCAGAACUGCCUUUGAUACUGAAAGUCUUGAGUAUGGGAGAGGUGAGUGGAACUGCGAGUGUAGAGGUGAAAUUCGUAGAUAUUCGCAAGAACACCAGUGGCGAAGGCGACUCACUGGACACGUAUUGACGCUGAGGUGCGAAAGCGUGGGGAGCAAACAGG
rnacentral:rRNA from 1 species